UCAGAGCUUCCCCUGUGUCUGCUGUUUCUCAAAAUGAUCCUUAGCCAAAAAGGUGUGCUUUGAGGUAGCAUAUUCUGGUCUCCUACAGCUAUUCAACUGAGGACAGAGUAGUUAUGAAAAACCUCCUCCUGGGCUUAUCAAGGUUGGCAUUGCAAAUGGUAUGGUCACCGAACAGGCUACAAAGAAUGCCCUUUCUUUAUCAAAGACAACCAAAAGUUACAACAGUUCAGAGUAGCACAUGAGGAUUUCAUGUAUGACAUCAUACGAGACAAUAAACAACAUGAAAAGAAUGUAAGGAUACAGCAGUUAAAACAGUUACUGGAGGAUUCUACCUCAGGUGAAGAUAGGAGCAGCUCCAGUUCCUCUGAAGGUAAAGAGAAACACAAGAAAAAGAAGAAGAAAGAAAAGCAUAAGAAAAGGAAGAAAGAAAAGAAAAAGAAGAAAAAACGGAAGCACAAAUCUUCCAAGUCAAAUGAGGGUUCUGACUCAGAGUGACAAGGAUGUGACUUGUUCAACAUUCUCUUCUCAAACACUGACCAAGGAACAGAGGAAGAUGCAGUCAGAGAAAGUAGCAGGAUAGAGACGCCGAGAGAGGAGUAUAUGUGGGUCACAGCAGUGAGCUCCCACCCGCCUUGCAGUGAAGAUGUGACCCCAGGAGAGGGAGUGUCUCCUUCCAGGUGCUAGCUCUGGACAGCAGCUGAUUUUAGGCAGGAAAGUUUCUUCAUCGUUGUCCUCCCUGCUGGUCACAUGAGUUUACGAUUCCUUAGAAGUGUCUCCCACAGGGUGGCAGGACUGGGAGAAUCUCUGAGGCGUGUCUUCCAGGCCCUCCCACAGCUUGUGCCCUCCACAGUGUAGACUUGAACACUUGGCCUCAUGUGAUCCUUCCACCUUGGCCUCCCAAAGCAUUGGGAUUACAGGCGAGAGCCACUGGUUGGCUAAAAUAUUUAUAUUUACCUGACAUGAUUUGUUGAUUUGGGGGCUAGGGAGUUCUUAAAACAACAAUAAAAAAUCUUCUGUGGCUGCAUUCUACUUCACUUGCUUUCUACUGCCAGAGUCCCAUGAUUUUCACAGAGUGACUGACUCAGAAAAGGUUUAGGAAUAUAGGGGGAUUUGUGUACUAGGUCAGGUAUCCACAUCCCAAAAUCCAUCCCUCCCUUUCUUCCUCUUCCUGUUGCCUGACCACAGCCCACCUGUGCUCUUGUAGCUGAAACUAGGCCACAGUAGAGGCAUCUCAGGAGGCCAGGGUGUGUCUGCAGCUGGAGGAGAGGAAGUCUAUCCUUUGCUGCGCCAAAGUGAAGCGGAUCUUGCUCAUAGGCAAGUGUGUCCCUCUGUGGCUAGCACUGGUCUCUUGCUGCUUUAGGCACUCAGUCAGGGUCCCAGAAACUCACUCCCAU
rnacentral:lncRNA from 1 species